GACGAACGCUGGCGGCGUGCUUAACACAUGCAAGUCGAACGGAAAGGCCCUGCUUUUGUGGGGUGCUCGAGUGGCGAACGGGUGAGUAACACGUGAGUAACCUGCCCUUGACUUUGGGAUAACUUCAGGAAACUGGGGCUAAUACCGGAUAGGAGCUCCUGCUGCAUGGUGGGGGUUGGAAAGUUUCGGCGGUUGGGGAUGGACUCGCGGCUUAUCAGCUUGUUGGUGGGGUAGUGGCUUACCAAGGCUUUGACGGGUAGCCGGCCUGAGAGGGUGACCGGCCACAUUGGGACUGAGAUACGGCCCAGACUCCUACGGGAGGCAACAGUGGGGAAUAUUGCACAAUGGGCGGAAGCCUGAUGCAGCAACGCCGGGUGCGGGAUGACGGCCUUCGGGUUGUAAACCGCUUUCGCCUGUGACGAAGCGUGAGUGACGGUAAUGGGUAAAGAAGCACCGGCUAACUACGU
rnacentral:rRNA from 1 species